AAGUUGUUUUUAAAUUGACAUUUUUGUCACUUUUUAAUAAGAGGCCAUAUAUUGCUGCCUGAAAUCAAUUAGCACUUAAGCAUUAAUUAAAUCAUAGCCACUUAACACUAAUGUGUUGCCAAUUCUUUCAGCUAAUGCUUUCAUUGCCUAGGUAAUGAAAUAAAAAUGGAAUGCAAAACUGAAUACUGGUAGAUUUUACUAUCACAUGUACUACAACUAAAGGAAAUGAGAUAUUGAAGGAGAUACAAGACAUGUCAUUAACAGCAAUGCACUUUUAUGUUCAAUGGAAAGGUCUUACAUAUACUAGGUCCUAACUUUUGAAAAUAAUAUAUUGUUCUUGUCACAGCAAAGUAAUUGAGGAAACAACCUUCUCAGUGAAAUGUCCUUUCAUAACUCAUUUAGAUUUGUCAUGUGUUGAAGUACAAACUGCUUCCUUUGUGGGAAAUACAUUAUGUGUCAUAUUUGCUUUGAGAAAGUGCUUCUCUGUUUGGCUCCAGAUAAUAUAAAACAGACAAGAUCUUCCUAUCUCUAGUUCAUAUCUCACCUGAAUAUGCAAGCCCAGUGUGGAAUAUAUCUCACCGUGUUAAAACAGUGGAUGUGGGUCUUAAUGAGACAUGCUGCAUUAUCACCGGAUGUCUACAUUCUACACCACUGGAGAAAUUAUACUGCUUAGCCGCCAUUGCACCACCUGACAUCUACUGGGAAGUAGCGGCCAACAGUGAAAGGACCAAGGCAUUGACAUCUCCAGCCCAUCUCCUGUUCGGAUAUCAGCCAGCACGCCAACACCUUAAAUCAAGAAAUAAGCUUUCUAAGAUCUACAGAGAUACUCGCAGGAACACCUCAGCAAGUGAGAGUCCAAAAGUGGUAGGCUAAAACCCAGAACCUUAAUCAGUGGCUGAUGCCGGAUGAGAGAUUCCCCCCGGGCACACAGAAGACUGAGCAACUUGGAAGGCGCUGAACAGACUGCGCUCUGGCAUCACGAGAUGCAGAGCCAACCUGAAGAAAUGGGGCUAUAAAGUGGAGUCCGCAACAUACUACUGUGGAGAAGAGCAA
rnacentral:lncRNA from 1 species